GAUGAACGCUAGCGGCAGGCUUAACACAUGCAAGUCGGGGGGCAGCAGGAGUAGCAAUACUUGCUGGCGACCGGCAAACGGGUGCGUAACACGUACGCAACCUACCCUUAAUUGGGGGAUAGCCCAAAAAAAUUUGAAUUAAUACCCCGUAAUAUAUCGAAAAGGCAUCUUUUUGAUAUUAUAGCUCCGGCAAUUAGGGAUGGGCGUGCGGCUGAUUAGGUAGUUGGUAGGGUAACGGCCUACCAAGCCAACGAUCAGUACCCAAUGUGAGAGCAUGAUCGGCCACACGGGCACUGAAACACGGGCCCAACUCCUACGGGAGGCAGCAGUAAGGAAUAUUGGUCAAUGGACAAAAGUCUGAACCACCCAUGCCGCGUGAAGGAUGAAGGCCCUCUGGGUUGUAAACUUCUUUUAUCUGGAACAAAAAAAGGUCAUUCCUGACCACUUGACGGUACCAAAGGAAUAAGCACCGGCUAACUCCGUG
rnacentral:rRNA from 1 species